AGAACGAACGCUGGCGGCAGGCUUAACACAUGCAAGUCGAGCGCGUGUAGCAAUACACGAGCGGCGCACGGGUGAGUAACGCGUGGAUAUCUGCCUUUUGGUUCGGAAUAACCCCGGGAAACUGGGGCUAAUACCGGAUGGUUCCUACGGGAUAAAGAUUUAUCGCCAAAAGAUGAGUCCGCGUCCGAUUAGCUAGUUGGUGAGGUAACGGCUCACCAAGGCGACGAUCGGUAGCUGGUCUGAGAGGACGAUCAGCCACACUGGGACUGAGACACGGCCCAGACUCCUACGGGAGGCAGCAGUGGGGAAUAUUGGACAAUGGGGGCAACCCUGAUCCAGCCAUGCCGCGUGAGUGAUGAAGGCCUUCGGGUUGUAAAGCUCUUUGGCGGGGACGAUGAUGACGGUACCCGCAGAAUAAGCCCCGGCUAACUUCGCGCCAGCAGCCGC
rnacentral:rRNA from 1 species